GACAGAGGGUGCAAACGUUGUUCGGAAUUACUGGGCGUAAAGCGUGCGUAGGUGGUUUGUUAAGUCUGCUGUGAAAGCCCCGGGCUCAACCUGGGAAUGGCAGUGGAUACUGGCAAGCUAGAGUGCGGUAGAGGGGUGUGGAAUUCCCGGUGUAGCGGUGAAAUGCGUAGAGAUCGGGAGGAACACCAGUGGCGAAGGCGGCACCCUGGACCAGCACUGACACUGAGGCACGAAAGCGUGGGGAGCAAACAGG
rnacentral:rRNA from 1 species